rnacentral:rRNA from 1 species
GCUAGUAAUGGCAGGUCAGCAUACUGCCGUGAAUACGUUCCCGGGCCUUGUACACACCGCCCGUCACACCAUGAGAGUUGGGAAUACCCGAAGCCUGUGAGCUAACUUUUUAAGAGGCAGCAGUCGAAGGUAGAAUCAAUGAUUGGGGUGAAGUCGUAACAAGGUAAC